GGGCAUUGCACAUGUGAGGGUCACAACUGUGGUAGCUGGCCGGGAGAAAUGCCACACCGCAGCCAGCUUCUCCCCUCUGGCUGGCAGCGCAGGCAGCAGUUGUUCCCCUGGCUAUUUCUGUGCCCCAGGGGCUCACCGAGCGCUCCUUCAGAUCUCCCAACCACAUUCGCCUUUCAUUCACCACCAGCCCACCUACCAAAUGCUGCAGCGACAGAUAAUAGCCAAACAUAGCAGGCUGGAAACAAAGUUGUGAAGGUUAUGCUUCCAACUUGUCGCUGGUAGCUGGCUGGUGUGUAGAGUAGCAGGCCCUUUCCUCUUCUGACUUUUUACCAUUUUUCCAGUGCUUUGGGAAUGUCUGCCUUCCCCACGCAGCUCCACAGGUGCAAUUGCGCUUGGACUUGCUGGAUAUUUCACAAGAGCAAAGAUCCAUGCAGGCAGCAGGGUGGCUGUACCCUGUUUUUAUUUUAUUUAUUUUUACCCCUGUGGGUUUAAGGUAUUGUUUAAUUGUCCUGUGCCCUGCCACGAGCAUCUGUGAGCAGUGCCCAGGUGCGCUGCUUGCUGCUGGGGAGGCUCCUGCAUGCCCCUGAUGCUCAUCACCUGUUUCUGCUUGGUCUCAAGCGAGGACUCCUGGUGCUGCAGGGAGGAGGCCAGUGCAUCUGAGGCCUUGCUAAAGGAGGAAGCAAUAAUUCUUUAUUUAGAGGAGAUUACAGCUUACUGCUGUAAAUUACUGUAUCUCUUUAUUUGAUCAUGGCGCUAACGGCCCCGAAGGCUUAAUGGUGGGGGGAGCCGUGUGUUGCACCAUGAGAAAUGCUGCCAGCAGCAGGGCUGAGCAGGGCCCUGGGUGCGUGAUGGCCUUGUCCUAUGCUUGUGAACAUCAUCUGGGUGCAGGGCUACCUUCAUAAACGAGCUCCAGGAGCAGGAAUCACAUUAAAUAAAUAUAUAGCGAGCUGCAGUGUCACAACAAGUAGAUGUACAAUUACGAAGACAAAAUACCCAAAGGAAAUCAACACAAGGCUUAUUAAUAUCCAGGCCUGCAGAAGACAACUGUCAGACAAUUGGUCAACAAGUGUGUACGGCACCGGGCAGGCAGCGAGGAUUCAGAAGGAUCCACUGAAGUAAAUCAGGUCUUUAAUCAGCAGCAGACCCUCAGCAGCUGUGCCCAAGGCAGUAACAAGAAUCCCAAAUUCCAGGUCAUGGUGUCUGGCUCUAAAACCGAGUUACCUGACUGCAUUUCAACGUAUCUAGCAAUGUUUUUGUAAAGAAAUGGGUGAGAAAACUUUUAGCCCCUUUUCUGAAAACACUUAUCACAGACUCUAAUCUUGGAAAGUGAUUUGUUGCAUAUAAAAACUGCGAAAGUGUUGGUCUGCAAAGAUCUGUAUUUUCUGACUCGUUUUUUAACAGAGUUGUAAUGGCUCCAACUUGGUCAUUGGCAGAAUUACCAAAUAUGUUACCCUGGCAAUUAGGAGUGGACAGAAAAUGUGGACUAUCAUUUGCUAGCUCUUCUAAAUUGUCUAAUCUUCAGUGUAAUAUCUUCUCUUUAAUAAAUAACACAAUUUCUAUUNNNNNNNNNNNNNNNNNNNNNNNNNNNNNNNNNNNNNNNNNNNNNNNNNNNNNCUUGGCUGUGCUCUGAAGUUAACCUUCUAAGAAGUUUCAUAGACUUUUUCCUUUGCAAGUUACCGAAUCAUGGACAGAAAACGUCUUUGCUUACUGGACGUUUUCAAGACAGAGGUGUUGGGUUCAGUUAACUUUUAUUUAAGGUCUUCUUAGCACACUGAUAAAUAUAUUUAUAUUUAUAUAUAUAAAUGGCCCCGGCAUGGCAGAGCGGGAGCUGGGGGUGUCCCACUGAGCUCCUCGCCCACCCUGUGGCUCUGCCAGGUGUCUCCUAUGAGCAGAGGGCAGGCAGCUUCCAGUGAGGGGUUCAAGCUGUGGCCUGCCGUGCAGAGGGGCUGCCACCAUCAAAGGUGUGAAACGGGGCGUAAGACCUCCCCUAGAACGGUG
rnacentral:lncRNA from 1 species